ACCUCGGUGGUGCAGUGGGUAGCACUGCUGCCUCGCAAGAAGGUUGUGGGUUAGAAUCUGGCUCGGGGCU